AUCCAGCUCGAUAUGCACUCGUCGUGAACUACGCUGGAAUCAUAUGUACGUUAAGGGUGCCCGAUGCCGCAACGAUGACUGCAAUAUGCGUAUGGCUUUCCAGAAUAACCUGCUAGUAUUCACGGUGCAGCACUGGAGAAGCCUGCGGCGAGUGCACGCGACAUGGCACAUACGCGCAACAUACAGGGCGCCAGCGUCUCUUGCAUCAACCGUAGAACGUCAAAGCCAGUUUCAAGAGAUGCCGCAGACUCUGAAUCGUCCAAUUUCACGAGCAGUGUCCUAGGUACGCAUAUUGUCUGCGUUCGCUGCUGACCAGUGUAGGGCAGACUCGCCAGCUCACGUAGUCACCGUGCGCUGCAACGGUGAAAGCUCACUCUCAACGUUUUGGCGCAGAUCAAGAACCUCGCGUCGAUCCCUACGUUUGGAAAGCAGCCUAAGGCGAUUGCGGAGAUCCAAUGACGCUGGAUGGUCUCUGGGACUGACGUCUCAGCGCUUCACUGGUGAGCGACUCAUGGUUCGGAUACGGAUUGCAUACGAGCUUGCAUGCAUAUAAGCGUGAACCGCCGCCGCGAUAGCCGUCUGCUCGCCCCAUCCGCGCAACUGCGAAGCAGGUCAAGUUGAGCAGCGCAGUCGCCGGGCAUGCGCAGAAGCGUGCAGCUGUCGCGAGCGCUGGUGUCAGGUGGCGUCUGUGCCUUGCAGAUCGUCAUCAACCUGCGACGUAACGCGCUGUCCAAAGGGACACAUGGCUAGUGCACGCGUUUCGCCAGUGCACAUGUCACUUGGGAUGCGCUGGUGUCAUGUGGCGUCUGUGCCUUGCAGAUCGCCAUCAGCCUGCGACGUAACGCGCUGUCCAAAGGGACACAUGGCUAGUGCACGCGUUUCGCCAGUGCACAUGUCACUUGGGAUGCGCGCGCUACGCCAAUAUCCCGUACAGCGUCGCGUGCGUUGGAUGGUUUCAACGUUGGGCGCUACGAUUCUUGUGAGCGCACAGCUGCAUGCGGGUAUUAUUCUUCAAUGACCUGCCAGAGCAGUUGACUCGGCAGAGUCGGCUUUCGCGUUGGUUGCAGAGACAGUCAAGCUGUUCAUGAGUUUCCGUUCAGCAGAGCUGGGUGCGGCGGACGCCUUUAGUCUGCGAUAGACUUCUGGUGUCAGGGGCUCGUCGAGCCGUCCGCUGUAUUCAUCGGCACACGGAUAAGCAAGAAUCGGCAGAUGCGUUGCGUCAACUCGCCACCUUUUUAUCAUAUAUCGAUGUUGCGGCGCCCGUGCAAACGAUUUAUCGGUCAACAUUCCCAACGAGAAUCAUGUUCCGAGCUCCAUCGAUUGCAGCGCUUUCGUGAGCGCGAGGCGUACUCGCCGCUUUGCUUGCAAUCGAUAGCAAUCGCGCAUGCGCGUAUGGUGUACGAUGAGACAAUGUGAAAUACUAUGAGACAGAACUAGAUGCUGAGAGACACAGUCGCAGCUGCAGCUCCUCCUUGGCUGGUGCAAGUGCUGGUGCAAGUGCUGGUGCAAGUGCUGGUGCUUCGCGAAGCUGUCGGUGCUGGUGUCGGAGAGCGUAACCGAGUCUGAAGACGCUAGCUUGUUGACUGGUUGUUUCCCUUGCCUGCAUUCAAAAGAGCAGGGUUGAAACAGCUGUUCAGUGUUGCGUUCAAGCCGGCGAAUGCAAAGCGUUAGGUACGCGGCAUAACUUCAGGUACUUUGGUCCACUAAUGGCCGACGACGGUCACUUCCACCAACAUCACGGGGCAGAAGGACACAGUGGGUGCGGCUGCAGCACGCACGGUACCGAUGGUCACGCUCCGCCGCCCCCGACGGAGGAGGAAGCGCGUUCACUGCUUCAGCAGUCGAACCUCUACCCUUAUAUAGACUUGAGCCGGGUGACGGCGCUAAACGACGGCGGUGC